rnacentral:rRNA from 1 species
GUGGGGAAUAUUGGACAAUGGGCGAAAGCCUGAUCCAGCCAUGCCGCGUGUGUGAAGAAGGUCUUCGGAUUGUAAAGCACUUUAAGUUGGGAGGAAGGGCAGUAAGUUAAUACCUUGCUGUUUUGACGUUACCAACAGAAUAAGCACCGGCUAACUUCGUGCCAGCAGCCGCGGUAAUACGAAGGGUGCAAGCGUUAAUCGGAAUUACUGGGCGUAAAGCGCGCGUAGGUGGUUCAGCAAGUUGAAGGUGAAAUCCCCGGGCUCAACCUGGGAACUGCCUCCAAAACUACUGAGAUAGAGUACGGUAGAGGGUAGUGGAAUUUCCUGUGUAGCGGUGAAAUGAGUAGAUAUAGGAAGGAACACCAGUGGCGAAGGCGACUACCUGGACUGAUACUGACACUGAGGUGCGAAAGCGUGGGGAGCAAACAGGAUUAGAUACCCCAGUAGUCC